CUGGUUGCCUUUCAUCCAGGCUCUCCCCUUUGAUCAGUGCUUCAGUUGCUCAGAGGUGAUGUCUGUAGAUAGAGGAGGAAAAGAGGGAAGAACAUGGCAAA